GAUGAACGCUAGCUACAGGCUUAACACAUGCAAGUCGAGGGGAAACGAUAUUGGAAGCUUGCUUCCGAUAGGCGUCGACCGGCGCACGGGUGAGUAACGCGUAUCCAACCUGCCCAUCACUUGGGGAUAACCUUGCGAAAGUAAGACUAAUACCCAAUGACGUCUCUAGAAGACAUCUGAAAGAGAUUAAAGAUUUAUCGGUGAUGGAUGGGGAUGCGUCUGAUUAGCUUGUUGGCGGGGUAACGGCCCACCAAGGCGACGAUCAGUAGGGGUUCUGAGAGGAAGGUCCCCCACAUUGGAACUGAGACACGGUCCAAACUCCUACGGGAGGCAGCAGUGAGGAAUAUUGGUCAAUGGACGAGAGUCUGAACCAGCCAAGUAGCGUGCAGGAAGACGGCCCUAUGGUUGUAAACUGCUUUAUAAGGGAAUAAAGUGAGUCUCGUGAGACUUUUUGCAUGUACCUUAUGAAUAAGGACCGG
rnacentral:rRNA from 1 species